UACGUAGGGGGCGAGCGUUGUCUGGAGUUACUGGGCGUAAAGCGCUUGUAGGCGGUCCACCAAGUUUGGGGUGACAGUUGCCGACUUAAUCGGCAAAGUGCCUCAAAGACUGGCGGACUUGAGGGCCACAGAGGGACAUGGAACUCCAGGUGUAGUGGUGAAAUGCGUAGAUAUCUGGAAGAACACCAAAGGCGAAGGCAGUGUCCUGGGUGGUCGCUGACGCUGAGAGGCGAAAGCCAGGGGAGCGAACGGG
rnacentral:rRNA from 1 species